rnacentral:rRNA from 1 species
AAUACAUGCAAGUCGAGCGAGCUUGCCUAGAUGAAUUUGGUGCUUGCACCAAAUGAAACUAGAUACAAGCGAGCGGCGGACGGGUGAGUAACACGUGGGUAACCUGCCCAAGAGACUGGGAUAACACCUGGAAACAGAUGCUAAUACCGGAUAACAACACUAGACGCAUGUCUAGAGUUUAAAAGAUGGUUCUGCUAUCACUCUUGGAUGGACCUGCGGUGCAUUAGCUAGUUGGUAAGGUAACGGCUUACCAAGGCAAUGAUGCAUAGCCGAGUUGAGAGACUGAUCGGCCACAUUGGGACUGAGACACGGCCCAAACUCCUACGGGAGGCAGCAGUAGGGAAUCUUCCACAAUGGACGCAAGUCUGAUGGAGCAACGCCGCGUGAGUGAAGAAGGGUUUCGGCUCGUAAAGCUCUGUUGGUAGUGAAGAAAGAUAGAGGUAGUAACUGGCCUUUAUUUGACGGUAAUUACUUAGAAAGUCACGGCUAACUACGUGCCAGCAGCCGCGGUAAUACGUAGGUGGCAAGCGUUGUCCGGAUUUAUUGGGCGUAAAGCGAGUGCAGGCGGUUCAAUAAGUCUGAUGUGAAAGCCUUCGGCUCAACCGGAGAAUUGCAUCAGAAACUGUUGAACUUGAGCGCAGAAGAGGAGAGUGGAACUCCAUGUGUAGCGGUGGAAUGCGUAGAUAUAUGGAAGAACACCAGUGGCGAAGGCGGCUCUCUGGUCUGCAACUGACGCUGAGGCUCGA